rnacentral:rRNA from 1 species
UACGGAGGAUGCAAGCGUUAUCCGGAAUGAUUGGGCGUAAAGCGUUUAAGGUGGUUGGUAAGUCUACUGUUAAAUAUCAGGGCUUAACCCUGAACAGGCAGCGGAACUACCAAGCUGGAGUACGGUAGGGCAGAGAGAAUUCCGGUGGAGCGGAUGAAUGCGUAGAUAUCGGGAGGAACACCUGUGGCGAAAGCGGCUCACUGGACCACAACUGACGCUGAGGCGCGAAAGCUAGGGGAG